rnacentral:lncRNA from 1 species
AAUUGUGAACUAGUAAAUGGGUGUUGUUUUAAGCUGCUAAAUAGUGAUAUACUUUAUAUGUACCAAUAGGAAAUGAACACCGCUGGACAGAGAAUGUGACAGCUGGAAUAUGGGACUUAAGCAUUUACAGUUGCGUAGGAUCUAAUCAUUUGGAAACGCAUGAAUAAGAUCAUUAAAUUGGGAGAGAGUGGAAAGAGCAUCUGGGGGGAAAUUCAGCUUAGUGAAGAAGAAAAAACACAUUGGAAGAAAGAGGAAACCAGCUGACAUAUAAUUAGGAGAAACCAAGGAAGUCAUUGAAAACCAAAGUGAAGACAAAUGAUUCCACAGAAGGUGAUGAACGUGGAAGAGACCAGUGCUGUUGAAUGGUGACCUUCAGAUCCUUCCAUCUCAAUGACAAGUGCAAUGAUCUUGUCCUGUUCAGAGGAGUUUGUUUAAAGGGUUCCAUGAUUUGUGAGAUUCCAAGAAGUCCAUGUGUGACCAGUGAGCAGAUGGGUCUCUCCAAGUCAAUGCCAAGUCACUAUGAUUCCAAAAAACAGUUGGUGAAGUCCGGCAAGGAACUCACAAGAGUGAUCCAUAGCCAAUUUAGUGUGCGGAACGAGGCUACUGUGCUCCCUCUUGAAGAUCCUCAAUAUGUGUAUCGAAUAUCCUUAAAAGUCCUCCU